UGUGUCUCUAGUCCCUGCUCUGAAAAUGGACCACAGUGUCGGGGGAGAAAGGGCUGAUUGGCAGCAGCAGUGUAAAGGACAAGGUAGAGGUACCUGGGGGGUCCCAGCCAUCCUCAGAGGCACAGCAGAGGCACCAAACGUGGGCACUGUAACCACUGGGGAUAGUUUCUCUGAGGCCUUAAAGGCAGAGUAGGAGUUUUCAGGUAAAGGGGAGGGUGUUAAAAGAAAAGAGAACAGCGUGAGUGAUUCCUGGAGGGGAAGGAACUGCUGUAGAGAUAAAGUAAGAGAAGCUCCAGAGAGGUGGCAGGGUCCCUGCAGCCAGAGGCCUGAGGAAUCGGUUUUGGGGCACUUCAAAAGGGUUUUAAGCAAUCCAUCAAAAUGUCUUUUCAUGAAGAUCACUUGGGUUCUAGAGUAAAGAUGGUUUCUAAGGCUUAAAGCCCAAGCUGAGGAACCUUGAUUUGACCAAACAACAAGAAACAACUCUUCAGUCACUUGAUGCCAAAUUCAUGCAAGAGCCGCAGACCCGGGUCCCCUUCUGUUGGCCCUCGUACAGAUGCAUAGGUGGCAUUUGGGAUGGAAGGGGCAUUUCUUUGAGCUGCUACCUUCCAAGGGAGAGUCUGCUCCUCCUCCCGCUGUAUUUCUGACACCCCUAGAGCCGGCCCGAUAGAGAAGAAGCACCGAGAUUGUGAGCAGUGAACCUCUGCUCAUUUCAGGAAUGGAGGCGUCUGAGACCCCUGAGGCUUGGAAGGCACGGCAAGAGCCAGUCCUGGAGGAGAGGGAAGGGUAACAUGCACAACUGCCCCGACCUUCCAGACUGACUGGAGUACCUGCCCAGGCCGAAGGGUGGCAGCACCUCCCAGGCCCGAUUGAUGACAAUCACACAGGGUUGGUCUUCAUUCCUGGUCCAACUCAGACCGGCGGAAACCAGAGUCUCUGAAGGAGGGGCCCAGGAAUCUGCAUGCCAGGUUCUUCACAUCAGACAAGGCUGAAAAGCAGUGCUAGGAGAAGAAGGCAGAGCAAAGAGGAAACCAGGAAGCCAUCCCGACUACCCAGAUGGCAAAAUCGACACCAAGAGCCCAGUGGGGAGAAAACCCUGGGAACGGCUCCUAAAAAGGGUUACAUUCCAGCUGCGCCUGAGAUCUUAGAGAUGGAAUGACAUGGAAGGAAUGAUAGCUAUCAUGGCAGAAAGGAGCAGGCAUGCUUUUGUCAGGCCUGGGUGAAGCAAAAGGGCCAUUUCAGGAAACAGAGACAGAUUCCAAAUAUCUUCAGCAAACAUUCACAGAGCUCUUUGCUUGGGUACAGAAGAUAGAGACAAAUCGCACACAGUCCCGUGCUUAAAGAGCUCAAA